AGAGUUUGAUCCUGGCUCAGGAUGAACGCUGGCGGCGUGGAUAAGGCAUGCAAGUCGAACGUUCCUUGUGUUUACAUAAGGAAAGUGGCAAACGGGGUAGUAACAGGUAGGAACAUACCCAUGAGUCGUGAAUAACUGCAGGAAACUGUAGCUAAUACACGAUAUCCCUACGGGGGAAAGAUUUAUCGCUCAUGGAAUGGCCUGCUUCGUAUCAGCUAGUUGGUAGUGUAAUGGACUUACCAAGGCUAUGACGCGUAGGGGAGCUGAGAGGCUGACCCCCACCAUUGGAACUGCGACACGGUCCAAACUCCUACGGGAGGCUGCAGUCGAGAAUCUUCCGCAAUGCACGAAAGUGUGACGGAGCGACGCCGCGUGAUGGAUGAAGUCCCUCGGGAUGUAAACAUCUUUUAUAAGCGAAGAAGUAUAUUGACAUUAACUUAUGAAUAAGAGGUUCCUAAACUCGUGCCAGCAGGAGCGGUAAUACGAGUACCUCAAGCGUUAUCCGGAAUUAUUGGGCGUAAAGGGUCCGUAGGUGGUCCUAUUAGUCAGUCGUGAAAGAUCCGUGCUCAACACGGGGACCGCGAUUGAAACGGUAGGACUUGAGUGUGCGAGAGGUGAACAGAACUCAUGGUGUAGGGGUGGAAUCCGUUGAUAUCAUGGGGAAUACCAAAAGCGAAGGCAGUUCACUGGCGCAUUACUGACACUAAGGGACGAAACCCUGGGUAGCGAAUGGGAUUAGAUACCCCAGUAGUCCAGGGCCUAAACGAUCUUGAUUAGUUUUUGGGAGUAUCGACCCUCUCAGAGACGUAGCUAACGCGUUAAAUCAAGCGCCUGGGAAGUACGAGCGCAAGCUUAAAACUCAAAGGAAUUGACGGG
rnacentral:rRNA from 1 species